rnacentral:rRNA from 1 species
GUGCCAGCAGCCGCGGUAAUACGUAGGGUGCGAGCGUUGUCCGGAAUUACUGGGCGUAAAGAGCUCGUAGGUGGUUUGUCGCGUCGUCUGUGAAAUUCCGGGGCUUAACUCCGGGCGUGCAGGCGAUACGGGCUGACUUGAGUGCUGUAGGGGAGACUGGAAUUCCUGGUGUAGCGGUGAAAUGCGCAGAUAUCAGGAGGAACACCGAUGGCGAAGGCAGGUCUCUGGGCAGUAACUGACGCUGAGGAGCGAAAGCAUGGGUAGCGAACAGGAUUAGAUACCCUGGUAGUCCAUGCCGUAAACGGUGGGCGCUAGGUGUAGGGGGCUUCCACGUCUUCUGUGCCGUAGCUAACGCAUUAAGCGCCCCGCCUGGGGAGUACGGCCGCAAGGCUAAAACUCAAAGGAAUUGACGGGGGCCCGCACAAGCGACGGAGCAUGUGGAUUAAUUCGAUGCAACGCGAAGAACCUUACCUGGGCUUGACAUAUAGCGGAUCGCUGCAGAGAUGUAGUUUCCCUUUUGUGGUCGUUAUACAGGUGGUGCAUGGUUGUCGUCAGCUCGUGUCGUGAGAUGUUGGGUUAAGUCCCGCAACGAGCGCAACCCUUGUCUUAUGUUGCCAGCAUUUGGUUGGGGACUCAUGAGAGACUGCCGGGGUCAACUCGGAGGAAGGUGGGGAUGACGUCAAAUCAUCAUGCCCCUUAUGUCCAGGGCUUCACACAUGCUACAAUGUCGGUACAACGCGCAGCGACACUGUGAGGUGGAGCGAUCGCUGAAAGCGCUUAGUUCGGAUUGGGGUCUGCACUCGACCCCAUGAAGUCGGAGUCGCUUAGUAAUCGCGGAUCAGG